AUUGAACGCUGGCGGCAGGCCUAACACAUGCAAGUCGAGCGGAUGAAGGGAGCUUGCUCCUGGAUUCAGCGGCGGACGGGUGAGUAAUGCCUAGGAAUCUGCCUGGUAGUGGGGGAUAACGUCCGGAAACGGGCGCUAAUACCGCAUACGUCCUGAGGGAGAAAGUGGGGGAUCUUCGGACCUCACGCUAUCAGAUGAGCCUAGGUCGGAUUAGCUAGUUGGUGGGGUAAAGGCCUACCAAGGCGACGAUCCGUAACUGGUCUGAGAGGAUGAUCAGCCACACUGGAACUGAGACACGGUCCAGACUCCUACGGGAGGCAGCAGUGGGGAAUAUUGGACAAUGGGCGAAAGCCUGACCCAGCCAUGCCGCGUGAGUGAAGAAGGUCUUCGGAUCGUAAAACUCUUUAAUUGGGGAAGAAGAAAUGUAUGUGAAUCUCUGCCUGUUUUGACGUUACCAAAAAAAAAAGCCCCGGCUAACUUCGUG
rnacentral:rRNA from 1 species